GGUCUCAGAAAGUGCAAGAGAGCUGGAAUUGGACACACCCCAGUAAGAGAGCUUCCUGAAGAAUAAGUUGCUUUCUCAGGAGUCCCUGAUGACAAACAUCCUGAAUGAAAACAGCACCUGAGAGACAACUUGGGGGACAGCCUUUCAUUAUGUGUGCAAGAGGAGAAACAGCAAUACAUCUGUGCUUCUAAAUGUUCCUUAAGAAUGUGCUGUUUAGAAAUAUUUUUGUUAUGAUUUUAAUUGAAAUUUUCUUUUUGUUGUUUCAUAUUUAUAUGUUCUUGUUACUGUUUUUAUCUUUUCACAUACUUUUAAAUAUUUUAAUUUAUUUGUUUUAAUCUUGUUUUGUUGUAAAAAUGAAUUCCUUAUGAAUAAAUAUUGAAUUC